GACGAACGCUGGCGGCGUGCUUAACACAUGCAAGUCGAACGGAAAGGCCCUGCUUUUGCGGGGUGCUCGAGUGGCGAACGGGUGAGUAACACGUGAGUAACCUGCCCUUGACUUUGGGAUAACUUCAGGAAACUGGGGCUAAUACCGGCUAGGAGCUCCUGCUGCAUGGUGGGGGUUGGAAAGUUUCGGCGGUGGGGGAUGGACUCGCGGGUUAUCAGCUUGUUGGUGGGGUAGUGGCUUACACAGGCUUUGACGGGUAGCCGGCCUGAGAGGGUGACCGGCCACAUUGGGACUGAGAUACGGCCCAGACUCCUACGGGAGGCAGCAGUGGGGAAUAUUGCACAAUGGGCGGAAGCCUGAUGCAGCAGCGCCGCGUGCGGGAUGACGGCCUUCGGGUUGUAAACCGCUUUCGCCUGUGACGAAGCGUGAGUGACGGUAAUGGGUAAAGAAGCACCGGCUAACUACGUG
rnacentral:rRNA from 1 species